rnacentral:rRNA from 1 species
AGAGUUUGAUCCUGGCUCAGGAUGAACGCUGGCGGCAUGCCUAAUACAUGCAAGUCGAACGAGAGGAAGGAGAGCUUGCUUUCCUGAAUCUAGUGGCGAACGGGUGAGUAACACGUAGGUAACCUGCCCAUGUGCCCGGGAUAACUUCUGGAAACGGAUGCUAAAACCGGAUAGGUAGCAGACAAGCAUUUGACUGCUAUUAAAGUGGCUUUUGCCAUGAACAUGGAUGGACCUGCGGUGCAUUAGCUGGUUGGUGAGGUAACGGCCCACCAAGGCGACGAUGCAUAGCCGGCCUGAGAGGGCGGACGGCCACAUUGGGACUGAGACACGGCCCAAACUCCUACGGGAGGCAGCAGUAGGGAAUUUUCGUCAAUGGGGGGAACCCUGAACGAGCAAUGCCGCGUGAGUGAGGAAGGUCUUCGGAUCGUAAAGCUCUGUUGUAAGAGAAAAACGACAUUCAUAGGGAAUGAUGAGUGAGUGAUGGUAUCUUACCAGAAAGUCACGGCUAACUACGUGCCAGCAGCCGCGGUAAUACGUAGGUGGCGAGCGUUAUCCGGAAUGAUUGGGCGUAAAGGGUGCGUAGGUGGCAGAUCAAGUCUGGAGUAAAAGGUAUGGGCUCAACCCGUACUGGCUCUGGAAACUGAUCAGCUAGAGAACAGAAGAGGACGGCGGAACUCCAUGUGUAGCGGUAAAAUGCGUAGAUAUAUGGAAGAACACCGGUGGCGAAGGCGGCCGUCUGGUCUGGAUUCUGACACUGAAGCACGAAAGCGUGGGGAGCAAAUAGGAUUAGAUACCCUAGUAGUCCACGCCGUAAACGAUGAGAACUAGGUGUUGGGGGAAUAACUCAGUGCCGCAGUUAACGCAAUAAGUUCUCCGCCUGGGGAGUAUGCACGCAAGUGUGAAACUCAAAGGAAUUGACGGGGGCCCGCACAAGCGGUGGAGUAUGUGGUUUAAUUCGAAGCAACGCGAAGAACCUUACCAGGCCUUGACAUCCCUUGCAGAGGUAUAGAGAUAUAUCCGAGGUUAACAAGGAGACAGGUGGUGCAUGGUUGUCGUCAGCUCGUGUCGUGAGAUGUUGGGUUAAGU